rnacentral:rRNA from 1 species
AGAGUUUGAUCCUGGCUCAGGACGAACGCUGGCGGCGUGCUUAACACAUGCAAGUCGAACGGAAAGGCCCUUCGGGGUACCCGAGUGGCGAACGGGUGAGUAACACGUGGGUGAUCUGCCCUGCACUUUGGGAUAAGCCUGGGAAACUGGGUCUAAUACCGAAUAUGACCAUGCGCCUCCUGGUGUGUGGUGGAAAGCUUUUGCGGUGUGGGAUGGGCCCGCGGCCUAUCAGCUUGUUGGUGGGGUAAUGGCCUACCAAGGCGACGACGGGUAGCCGGCCUGAGAGGGUGACCGGCCACACUGGGACUGAGAUACGGCCCAGACUCCUACGGGAGGCAGCAGUGGGGAAUAUUGCACAAUGGGCGCAAGCCUGAUGCAGCGACGCCGCGUGAGGGAUGACGGCCUUCGGGUUGUAAACCUCUUUCAGCACAGACGAAGCGCAAGUGACGGUAUGUGCAGAAGAAGGACCGGCCAACUACGUGCCAGCAGCCGCGGUAAUACGUAGGGUCCGAGCGUUGUCCGGAAUUACUGGGCGUAAAGAGCUCGUAGGUGGUUUGUCGCGUUGUUCGUGAAAACUCACAGCUUAACUGUGGGCGUGCGGGCGAUACGGGCAGACUUGAGUACUGCAGGGGAGACUGGAAUUCCUGGUGUAGCGGUGGAAUGCGCAGAUAUCAGGAGGAACACCGGUGGCGAAGGCGGGUCUCUGGGCAGUAACUGACGCUGAGGAGCGAAAGCGUGGGGAGCAAACAGGAUUAGAUACCCUGGUAGUCC